rnacentral:tmRNA from 1 species
CCUCUUUUUCCCAAGGCCACUAGCGCCUAUAUUCAGCCUGUCGGGCAACCGACUAUGGCGAUAAACGGCCUGUGAAAUAAGCAUUGCGGACCCGGGGGCGGUACCCGGCGCCUCCACCAAAGAUUCCCGGCCUCGUGGCUGGCUCCUUGGGGGCGAAAUAGGAUCGACGCGUGUGGUAAAGACAGUUCUUUCGCUCGGCAUGGUUCCGCCGUUAUCGGGCCAUUAUAGUAGUUGCAAACGACAACUAUGCGGAAGCUCGCCUCGCUGCGUAAGCAGUCAGGUGCUUCAAUUAAGUCCUAAGGGUUCGCACUUUUAGGCGGGGUUUGGGGCGCACCUGGCAACAGAAGCGUCCCGCU